rnacentral:rRNA from 1 species
AUUGAACGCUGGCGGCGUGCCUAACACAUGCAAGUCGAGCGGUAACAGGUGUAGCAAUACAUGCUGACGAGCGGCGAACGGGCGAGUAAUGCUUCGGAAUCUACCUUAUGGUGGGGAAUAACUAGCCGAAAGGUUAGCUAAUACCGCAUACGUCCUACGGGAGAAAGCAGGGGAUCGCAAGACCUUGCGCCAAAAGAUGAGCCGAAGUCGGAUUAGCUAGUUGGUAGGGUAACGGCCUACCAAGGCGACGAUCCGUAGCUGGUCUGAGAGGACGACCAGCCACACUGGGACUGAGACACGGCCCAGAGUCCUACGGGAGGCAGGAGUGGGGAAUAUUGGAAAAUGGGGGAAACCCUGAUCCAGCGACGCCGCGUGUGUGAAGAAGGCCUGCGGGUUGUAAAGCACUUUUAGUGGGGAUGAAAUGUGCUGGGCUAAUACCUCUGCAUUUUGACCUAACCCACAGAAAAAGCACCGGCUAACUCUGUGCCAGCCGCCGCGGUAA